rnacentral:rRNA from 1 species
AGUCGAACGAUAGUUUCCAGCUUGCUUCUCAGGAAAGUGGCGCACGGGUGCGUAACGCGUAUGCAACCUACCUUAAUCAGGGGGAUAGCCCGAAGAAAUUCGGAUUAACACCGCAUAAAAUCACAGUAUAGCAUUAUACAAUGAUCAAAUAUUUAUAGGAUUAAGAUGGGCAUGCGUGACAUUAGUUAGUUGGCGGGGUAACGGCCCACCAAGACCACGAUGUCUAGGGGAUCUGAGAGGAUGACCCCCCACACUGGUACUGAGACACGGACCAGACUCCUACGGGAGGCAGCAGUAAGGAAUAUUGGUCAAUGGAGGCAACUCUGAACCAGCCAUGCCGCGUGCAGGAAGACAGCCCUCUGGGUCGUAAACUGCUUUUAUUCGGGAAUAAACCUAUCUACGUGUAGAUAGCUGAAUGUACCGAAGGAAUAAGGAUCGGCUAACUCCGUGCCAGCAGCCGCGGUAAUACGGAGGAUCCAAGCGUUAUCCGGAUUUAUUGGGUUUAAAGGGUGCGUAGGCGGCUUAUUAAGUCAGGGGUGAAAGACGGUGGCUCAACCAUCGCAGUGCCUUUGAUACUGAUGAGCUUGAAUAUACUAGAGGUAGGCGGAAUGUGACAAGUAGCGGUGAAAUGCAUAGAUAUGUCACAGAACACCGAUUGCGAAGGCAGCUUACUAUGGUAUUAUUGACGCUGAGG